AUGAGACUGGAAUACAGAAAAACAAUUAAAGACAAUACUGUAAGCAGAGUCCUCUUGGUUUGUAGGAAAUACGGCAAGCCAAAAACAAACAAGGAGGAGACAGAGGAUGUGCAGGACCCAAAAGGCAUCGUGAAGAAGAGGAAAAGAGGGAAGGUUGUGAGGUCGGGAUGUCCGGCCCACCUUUAUAUCACCCACACGGAUGCGUGGUGGAGAGUCAAACGCUUCAACGACGACCACAACCACCCCUUAAUAAGAAAGCCGUCCUUGACAAAGUUCCUAUCAACACAUAGGAACAUUCCAAAAGAUGAGCAGGACUUCUUGAAGAUAUUGCACGAAUGCAACAUAGAGACAGCAAGACAAAUGCAACUAAUGCAAUGGUUCUACGGGAAUCCUAAAGAUGUACCAUACACAACAAAGGACAUCGCAAACCAGCGAGCUAAAUUCUGGAUGGAGUACCGCAAUGCUGAUGUGGGGAGCACAAUCUCGUACUUCCAAGAUAUGAAGGCACAAGAUCCAGAUUUCUAUUGGAGAAUAAAGCUUGAUGAUGAGGACAGAGUAGAAAAUUUAUUCUGGAUAGAUGGUGCGUCGCGCAGGGCAUAUGCUAGAUACAACGAUGUCAUCUCAUUUGACACAACAUACAUGACAAACAUGUACAAAAUGCCAUGUUCAAUCCAAUUUGGUUGUGGGUUUGUUCGAAACGAACUAUCUGGUAACUUUGUGUGGCUGUUUAAUGCAUUCUUGCAUGCAAUGGGUGGAAGUGCGCCAAAGAACAUAAUAACAGAUCAAGAUUUUGCAAUAAGGAGUGCUAUUGAUGAGGUGUUCAUCGGGAUAGUACACAGAAAUUGCCGCUGGCAUAUAAUGAAAAAAGCACAAGAGAAGCUUGGGAAGCUGAUGGCCGACAAUGAGCCACUAAACAAUGCAUUCAAGGAUUGUGUUGACAACAGCCUGGCUGUUGAGGAGUUUGAGCACAAGUGGUGGGUGAUGAUGGAAGCGUAUGGCCAGACCGACAACGAGCAUUUCCAAUGGUUGUGGGAGAACAGGAAGUGUUGGGUCCCGGUAUACUAUAUGCGAUUUUUCCCAUUCUUGCAGACCACGACAAGAAGCGAGGGUUUUAACUCUGUGCUCAAGAAGUAUGUCAACCCAAACAACUCACUGGUCGAAUUCGCACAACAGUACACUGCGAUACAUGAUAAGGUGAUGGCUAGCAUGUCAAAAGAGCAGUUGACAGUGUAUAAAGAAACCGAAAUGUACUCGAUGAACCCGCUGGAGAUGCAGGUGCAGGGGCUGUACACACAUAACUUGUUUUGCAAGUUCCAGGUGGAGAUGAAGGUGAAAUCAGCAUACAGAUGCGACGCAUUGAAUGAUGGUACUUUCAAGGUCAGCUCAGUGCGGGGGAUAAUACCAAAAUAUGGAGACAUGGACUACCAUGUGCAAGCAAACAUGGUUGAAGAGACAUAGUCGUGUAGUUGCUGCAAGUUUGAUCGUGACGGUCUACUGUGCGCGCACGUACUACGAGUUAUGGACCAAAUUGGGGUAUACGAGAUACCUGAAAAGUACAUCCAAAAGAGGUGGACCUGGGAUCUAGAGGAGGAUCUUAUUCAACCUGAUUUCGAACAGCCAAUAGUUAAGAAGUCGAUGCCAGAGGAGGGGAAAAGCGUCAUGCGAUACACGUCAAUUCUUAAAGAAUUUAAGGCAUCGUCCAAAGACGCUUGCCUAACAGAUGAAGGGACCAGAUUGGCAAGAAAACACCUGUAUAAUUUCAAGGAGGAGCUUGAAACCCUGAAGAACAAUCAACUUAAAAAAGCAAGAAAGGAAAAGGAAGAAGCAAAAGGAUCGUUUCAAGGACAGCCAGAUCCCUGCUCGAUACUUGUGGGGCGGAUGAAUGAAGACAACCCCGUCACACAGCACCAAAAUGCCCCCAUGCAAGACAUCUAG
rnacentral:rRNA from 1 species